rnacentral:misc_RNA from 1 species
UGUGGGAGCGGGCUUGCUCGCGAUGCAGGCGGCGCGGUCUGUCAGGCAGACUGCGGCGAUGUCAUCGCGAGCAAGCCCGCUCCCACA